rnacentral:tRNA from 1 species
GCCCCAGUGGCGAAAUGGUAGACGCGGAAGACUCAAAAUCUUUUGCCGGCGACGGCGUGCUGGUUCGAGUCCGGCCUGGGGCACCA